CAGAAAGUUACAUAGUAGCAUUAAAAAGCAUGAGAAGUCAAAAAAAUAAUAACUGGCCUUAGUGGCCAGAGCAGCUGCUGCAUACACUUAUCACAGGUUUCGGCUUUGUAAAUUAAUUCAUCUGCAAAUAGUGCACUGUCUCCAGGUACAAAUUCGAUGCUGGAGCACUGGUUUCUUAAGGAUUUAAGUUUAAAGUCAAAGGCUUCCUGCCCUAGGUGUUACAAAUAAGUAGUGUCGUUUUCUUUUUUUGCUCUGAGUUUGUUCAU
rnacentral:lncRNA from 1 species